CCAGCACCUGCGGUAAUUCCAGCUCCAAUAGCGUAUACUAAAGUUGUUGCAGUUAAAAAGCUCGUAGUUGGAUUUCUGUGGGGGCGGAGCGGCCGGCCGCAACUCGCGGUUCGAGCUAGCGCUUCCCCUACAUCCUGCCGCGAACCGUGCUACCAUUAAUUUGGUGGCGCCGGGGAUCGGCUCGUUUACUUUGAGAAAAAUAGAGUGUUCAAAGCAGGCCACGCGCCUUGAAUAAGUUAGCAUGGAAUAAUAAUAAAGGACUUCGGUUCUAUUUUGUUGGUGUUCGGGACUGAAGUAAUGAUUGAUAGGGACAGUUGGGGCGGUCAGUAUUCCAAAGCGAGAGAUGAAAUUCUUAGACCUUCGGAAGACUAACAGCUGCAAAAGCGUUCCGCAAGGAUGUUCCCUUUAAUCAAGAACGAAAGU
rnacentral:rRNA from 1 species